CAGUCGCCGCGGUAAUACGUAGGUGGCAAGCGUUGUCCGGAAUUAUUGGGCGUAAAGGGCUCGCAGGCGGUUUCUUAAGUCUGAUGUGAAAGCCCCCGGCUCAACCGGGGAGGGUCAUUGGAAACUGGGAAACUUGAGUGCAGAAGAGGAGAGUGGAAUUCCACGUGUAGCGGUGAAAUGCGUAGAGAUGUGGAGGAACACCAGUGGCGAAGGCGACUCUCUGGUCUGUAACUGACGCUGAGAGACGAAAGCUAGGGGAGCAAACGGGAUUAGAUACCCCCGUAGUCCCUGUCUCUUAUAC
rnacentral:rRNA from 1 species